CACGAGUGAGUGAGAGCUCCAGGUUCGAACCUGUAAUAAAGAUCCUUGCUGCUUGGCUUUGACUCUGGACUCUGGUGGUCUUCUUCGGGGAAUAAACGGUCUGGGCAUAACAUUUCCUCUGGGAAAAUAGCAUCACUGGCCCCAGAUACAUUCCUGAUUGCCUAGGAAGAACUGCCUUUGAAAUCUGGCAUCUGCAUCUGUUUAGGUUGAUCAAGCCCAACCAAUGGAGAGGGGAAGCACCCUGACUGUUUCAGUUUCGACACUCUUGAGGUUCUGGUUGACACUGUGGCCUACAAGGAAUGGUGAGCUAGACUUGUGACCUACAGAAGUGGAAGAUCAUGCUAGAGAGAAUGGGAAAAUUCCUGCAUUUCACUGCCAACUAUAAAAUCCAUCACACAAAACAAUGUUUAAAAUAUUAAGAAUAUACUUAUUCAAGAAGAGAUACAUGAACGAGUCAAGAGACAUGAAAUUUACUGAUUAAUGGCUAUAAAUUUAGGAA